rnacentral:rRNA from 1 species
UACGUAGGGUGCAAGCGUUAAUCGGAAUUACUGGGCGUAAAGCGUGCGCAGGCGGUUAUAUAAGACAGUUGUGAAAUCCCCGGGCUCAACCUGGGAACUGCAUCUGUGACUGUAUAGCUAGAGUACGGUAGAGGGGGAUGGAAUUCCGCGUGUAGCAGUGAAAUGCGUAGAUAUGCGGAGGAACACCGAUGGCGAAGGCAAUCCCCUGGACCUGUACUGACGCUCAUGCACGAAAGCGUGGGGGAGCAAACAGG